UACGUAGGGGGCAAGCGUUGUCCGGAUUUAUUGGGCGUAAAGAGCGUGUAGGCGGCCUGACAAGUCUGCUGUGAAAACUCGAGGCUCAACCUCGAGAUGUCGGCGGAAACUGUCUGGCUAGAGUCCGGAAGAGGAGAGUGGAAUUCCUGGUGUAGCGGUGAAAUGCGCAGAUAUCAGGAAGAACACCUAUGGCGAAGGCAGCUCUCUGGGACGAUACUGACGCUGAGACGCGAAAGCGUGGGGAGCGAACAGG
rnacentral:rRNA from 1 species